CCUCACUGCAUCUUCUCAACAGCAGAGUGAGUAGUAUUGCCAAAGGUUCACGCAGAGCAGACAUGAGGAAAACAAUAGCAGUGGACAGUUUGUUCUGUCUCUGGGAUAGUGUUCUGAAGAGGAUCUGAGGCAGACACAUCAGCCUGCAGGGUCCCUAGCCAUGCGAAUACGUUGGCCUUCCUAGAGACUGCUCAUCUGGACAGAAUGAGAUGGUGUUAGCAACACAGACUACCUGCCUCUCAACCAUGUCCUGACCAUGUCUAGUGGCCACUUGAGUACACGGUUAUCAUGGAACGCGCAACCCCGCACCAUUGACAACUCUGUUGGGUGGUGACGGUCUUAUGCGCCUGGAGUUCACAACCUGCUUCCCCGUUUCACCCCACAGAUACUAACAACGCUUGCAAUAUUUUCUCCAGUUGAUGAUAUGAUUCAUGGGACUGAUUCAACACAAUGCCUGCCAGUGGCCCAAAUCCUGCUGGGGAAAGGCAGUUUCUCGCACACCUCCUUAGGUAUCCUCCUAGCUUUGUUUCUUUUCCCAGUUAACAGCCAGCACUGCCGCCCUGAACUAGUGACAGGAGACUCCUCCCCAGGGAGCCAGCUACAACUAUUUGAAAUGCACUUUUAGGUGACAUCUUUCUUAUCAAGAAGGGCUCUUAAUAGAAUGCACUUGUUGCAUAACAAGAGAAAGUUGGCCUUGAAUGCAAAGGACAAAAUCAGGGUUUGUACAUCACUGUAAAUGAAGGUCAAGAUGCCCUAAUAUGGAAAUACAGUGACAUUCUUUUCUUUAGCAUCUUAUUGUUACUAGACUAAUGAUACCCAGGGAGAGGGGAAAAUGCACAAGAGACCCUAUUUUCCUUCCUUGGUAAUGACUGCUUGUGACCUUGAGCGU